CUCACUGGCACGCCCCGGGGUGGGCAAAGACUUGGCGCGAACACACUCUUGCACAUGCGCACACAGCUAGCUUCCUGAAAGGAAGUCGGGCUGGCGCAGCGGAAGCCAGCGCCAUCUUGUAAUGGCGAAUGCUAUCGCGGCUUUCCACAGAAAUUAACCUCAAUGAUAAUGGGCUUUAGUGUUCUUUAAAAACAACAAAAAAGUGUCUAUUGAUUCAUUUAAUAUUGAUUGACUACUUAGGUGUUAAUAUCUGAUCUUGCUAUUUUUCAACUUAGAAUGAUAUUGACAACAAAUUACUAAACUAUGGGAGCCAAAAGAAGUCAGUAACCUGUCUGUAUGGCUACAGCUGCAAUGUAAGGCAUGGCUGGAGACGAAGAAGAGACUAUUCAGUGUAAGGAAGAGUUGUAAAAAAUUGCUCUAUUCUUCUUUCUAUAUGACUUUCCUUCUAGUGUGGUGUGCAAGUUUUCCUUUUGAAUGACUACUGUCUGUGUUUCCUCCUCUUCAUCUCAUUCUUAAGGUUGGUUAAUGCAUAGGAGAAGCUGUAUUUGUUUCUACCUUUUUGUUCAAAAUGGUGCAUAAGUUAUCUGAUAUGCACACAGUACAGGAGCAGUUCCCCAUCUGUGGGUCACAAAACCUUUUGGGAAUCAAAUGACAAGAAAUGGUGCAUAUGGUAUCUGAUAUGCACACAGUACAGGAGCAGUUCCCAAUCUGUGGGUUACAAAACCUUUUGGGAAUCAAAUGACAAAAAAUGGUGCAUAAGGUAUCUGAUAUGCACACAAAAUAGGAGCUGUUCUCAAUCUGUGGGUCACAAAACCUUUUGGAAUCAAAUCACCCAGUACAGGAGUCAUCUAAGACUAUCUGAAAACAUAGACAUUUAUGUUAUGAUUAAUAACUGUAGCAAAAUUACAGAUUUUAAGUAGCAAUAAGAGUAUUUUUAUGAUCAGGGGUGACCAUAACAUGAAGAACUAUAUUUAAAGGUUACAGCAUUAGGAAGUUGAGAACCAGGUGAUAUUAAAUGGCUGUCUGUAGUGUUGAUUGUAGCUUGACUGUCCACCUCUAUGAUCACCCUUCUUGAAAUCAGUCAGGGUUAUAGCUCUUUGACAGUCACAACUAAGUUCCAGCAAUCUUUUUCUUCCCUCAGCCUUGAAAGAAAUUUGACAAGGUUUUAUGGUUCAGAAGGUAGAUGUGGAUAUAGACCUCUGUCUUCUUGUCUCAUACACAUGCAUAAAAGGAAGCCACAAGAGCAGCAGGGGGAAGCAGUUGAGUGAUACUUUCUAUAUGUGAUGGGAGGGGUUUGUAGUUUGUGUACCCUCUAGAUUGCAUAGAUACAACCAAAUCAAGGGCAUGCAUGUCUUUAAGAUUGUGAUAAAAGGAAUAACGCCUGUCACUAACUAGUUCAUACUUACUAUAGAUGGGCUUCCUAUUUCCAUCAAAGGCAUGCAAUUGAAGCCAACGAUAUGUACCUACCUCAGUGACCACAUUUCUACUGAAUAUACACAGGGCAUCCCAUCUUAAUCAAUCAGACCCUACCCUUUUCAUAUAGUUAAAGGUUCUGCCAAUAAAGAAGACUGAAAUUAUUUUAUAAUGGUCACAAAUGUUUCUCAAUUGCAAUCAGUUAAUCAAAUACACUCACACCAAUCAUGAGUCACAUGCAAUCCCAGUGUUGCAAUUUUUCUCUUAAUGUCAGUUAUUGAAUGCCAAAUUAUUAAAUCCUUCUUUAACUAGAGCACCAUCCUUGCAGUGAGAACAGUACCUGUGGCAACUGGCUGCCCUUUCUCAACUCCGUGUGUGACAUGAAUGCAAGUUGAGUCUAGGGAUUGGGAUGUUUUUGUGUUUUGUUAAACAGACAUCGUAUAGCAGCUCUGUUUCAUCUGAAGCAGUGCCUUCCUCUGCAUGGAUGAGUUUGUUUUGUUUGACAUAAGCAUUAGAGAGAACAAAUCAAAUCAAAUGGAGACAAAAUAAGAUAAAGGAGAUUGAAGGUUAUAUUUGGUUUUUGAUCAUUCGAAGACACUUAUCUUUCUAUAUAAUGUUAAAAUUUCUUUGUUUUCCGAUUUCAGCAAAGAGGUUGGUACACAUGUUCAAAAAAUAUUUUUUACAAACGUCAUAGUUUUUGAUCACAAUAUCUGAGUCAGUUUCCAAAUAAACACAUUGUCUCCCAUGAUUGCAGGAAACAGUGUUAAUAGGAAUUCUGCCAACAGUUCCGAACUCAAGCCGUGGUCUUGAGCAAUGAAAUAAAUUGUCUGCAAUGAAGAUAUGAAUAAAUUACUAAUAGAGGACUCUUCAUUUAUCUUUAAUGCUUUGCCAAACACCAGCUUGAUUGAAACUCUGAUAGUUAGCAGAAAGAAGAAAGGGUGUAUCUUGACGAAGAAUCAAACUAGCAAGGGUAAUGGAGUAGAGCCUUUCCAUGUGGAAUUCCAUCUCAACAAUCCUGUUUCUUUAAAGGUCGGAAGCUCAUACAUACUUGGAAUUUUUGCUCUCUGCCUUUGAUUUAAAGCGCAAAAUCAAAAGCUUGUUCUAUGAAAAGAAAUGCACUCGAGCAACCCAGGAAUGUGCUGAAGCCUUUCUACAAAUUAAUCUCUUCUUUAGUGCAGGGAAACAUGCAGACCAUUCAGGGACAGUGGGAGGAGCUGGGGCUUGAAUUUGAGCCAAGCUUAAUGAGGAAUUGGAGGCAAAAUGGGAUUGAACUGUACCUUGUUAACUGAUGAAAGCUGUGAAUGAGCUAGACUUACUCGCCAAGAAUUCCUUCCUUUUGUUGCAAUUAACUAUAGGGAAUACUUUUGAGAUAGUUUUUGUGAUCUUUAAACACUAAGAUAUGAUUUUAAAAUAUGUUUAUGUUUAAAACUUAGGAAGGAGGUCAUUUAUUCAUUCUCAUUUGUAAUGUGGCUGCUAGUUUUGAAGACACACUGCUUCAAAUUUCUGUAGACUUGGUUGUCUGACUUGAAAUCUAUAUUACUAACCACUCUAUGAGGUGCCAGAGGGAAAAGCAAUGUUAAUCACUGGCUGUGUCUGGGGGCCUCACAUUCCAGCCAUUGCUGCUGAAAUCUCUCAGCCACAGCAGGGAAAGCAGAAACCCAGGGGCCAAGCAUGCACUAGGCAUUGAGCUGCAGAUCUCUCAGGCACUCAUUCCUCUUAAGAACCAGCACAUACCUUUCCCAGGGAGACUGAUUUACGGCGCGAAUACUGUUUACUCUGCAAAUUUCUUCUAUAGAAAACGUGGUGAGCAGGAAUCCUGGUAAUACCGAGAAUGGAUGUUCAAAUGGGACUUGGGAAGGCUGGGCUUUAGGACAAAGAAAAAUCUUCUUGAACGACUUAUUAAAACACCCCAUGGCCCAAUUUUCCUUGUUGUGAGCUUGAGAUGGGACCUGCACAUUGAGCUGUUGCAAAGCAUUGUGUGAUUUAUAAUAGUUUUAAUAUGGUUCUUUUUUUUUUUUUUGGAGCUGGGGACCGAACCCAGGGCCUUGUGCUUGCUAGGCAAGUGCUCUAUCACUGAGCUAAAUCCCCAACCCCAAUAUGGUUCUUAAAGGCAAGGUAGGUGUCUAGCACCUUCUAAUUGAUAGAUCAGAAGACACACCUCAUUUUGGUGGAUAUAUUCUUCUCUUAAAAGUCUGAGCACUGAACUCUUUAUGAACAGAAUAAUCAUGUGCAUGCAAAAGUCACUGGGUUGAGUAUGAAAUUGAUAAAUGGGAACUGGGUUCCGAAUCUCAGUAAUUAAAAAUCAAGUAAGAAUAGACUUGAACAGAAGCUCAAGAAGGACAUUUUUAGUGUUGAAAAUAUAAGUAAAUUGUAAAACACAGCAACAAGUUAUAAGCUCCAGCUGCUGCCCAGAGGACAAGUGGAGAAGAGAGUGAAAAAAACAAGCCUCACUGUUCAAACUGGCAUGGGGGUCAGACACAUAAUGGACACACAUCUACAUGGUAGAAGGAAGGACUUAGAAAAAGAGUAAGAGUGUCCCAAUAUUGGAGAAGGCCAAAGUGUUAAAGAAGUAUUAAGGCUUAGAUAAUACAGAAAGCAUGCAAUUUUACCUUUCAGAAAAACUCAGAAGAUCAGGCAGAUGUGUGAAGCUACAUUGUAUGUGUGUGUGUGUGUGUGUGUGUGUGUGUGUGUGUGUGUGAAUGAUAAGCCCAGUGUCUCAUCGUGGAGCUCAGUUUCCUCCUGUAUCUGGCAUAGCUGAAUGAGGAACCUACAAGCAUCACAGAAAGUGUCAUUGCUUUAUCAUUUCUGCUCCCAUUUGGCAAAGGAGAGUAUGGUAUAGGCACUGGUGGCCUGGACCUCUGUCCUUCCCUCAUCUUCUAUAAUCAUUGAUCUCUCUGAGCUUCUGACAUUUUGUCCUCGCUUUGCUCAUUCCGUUUGGGAUAAACAAAGAGGAAAUUUUGCUAAGAUUAUGUCAUCUUUCUUGGUUCAAGACUAUGCAUGGGUUAAAAGAGUUCUCAAAAAGUAAUGUUUGCUCUUUUGAGUAAGAGCUACUUCCUGUCAGUCCCCUGAUGGCAUUUGAUUCCUUUCAAUCCACAUUCACUAAUUUACAGAAGAUAUAAAAGUGGAUAUCAUGUAUGCCUAAAUCUGACCAUGAACUAAGUUUAUAUGCAUUUGUAAGGGAAUAGUUUGAUCUUGUUUGAGGCAGAAUUUUUAAACAAAAAACAUUUAUAAUUUUUCUUCUAUGAUAUAUACAUACCCAUGGGAAGGGGAAGGAAAGCAGCUAUCUUCUCAGAAAAAUGACUUUUUAAGUAACCACAAAUAGACCAAGAGGUCUAUAAGAAUAUACUAAAAACUGCAACGGUAAUAUGUUUAGUGGAAUAGGGGUGUGUUCAUUAGAAUAGGAUGCCAGCCCUGUGAAGAUGGAGUUCUUGAAUUCCCAGUGAAUAUAUGUAUUCCAAUUCUAUGACUAAGGAGCUCAGAGAUGCAAGCUGAGGAGGAAUGUAUGACUUUUGUCAAAUUAGCUCUUAGGGAAGAACUUGCUAAUGUCCCUACAGUUCAGGAGCUAAAUUGACAUAUCUAUUUCAGGCAUUGCAAGGGGCAGCAUACAGGGGGCAGUAUAGGUCCAAUGCUAAAUUAUUCCCAAAAGUUUCAUGGAAGGUAAUGAUGCUGUUAUUAUUUUUUUCCCAAAGAAACUUAUGAACUGAUGAAGAAUUUACCCAAGAUACAAACCUAUACAAUAUGGCUCCACAUAUAAACUGAUGAUUCCACAGGGUUUAUAGGGGGGGGAAACAAUGUUAAUAUAAUAAAAAGCAUUUUCUGGAUGAAUUUAAUUGUAUUUCCUCCUUCUACAAUAUCAUACAUUUGCCUCGAUAUUAGAAUAACUCAGGAGAAGUUUUAUGUCUAGACUUCUCUUUCAUCCCAGAAAAUCCUCAGCAAUUACAAUUGGGCUCUUUUAGAAAGGGAGACAGAAAAAAAAAAACCUGUAGGAUUCCUAUACGAUAUAUUAAAAGGACAUGUUCUUUUUAAGAAGGAAAGAAUUCACUUUUUAGUAGCUAUACAUCUGGUGUGAAAAUCAUUUUUGAAGCAAAUCAAGGACCCUUUUAAAGUUGAGAUGCAUUUAUUUGCACAAAGUCUUUACAGGACUGGUCCAUGUCAACCAGUAGUCUGGGAUGCUUGGGAGCAAAGGCAAGUAUUUCAAACUAUAUUUAGAACAGUAAAUCAACUUGAACAUCUACUCUCUGUGAGACGUCAUGAAAUCUCUUGGGAGUUUAAAAUAUGUCACAUUGGUCUUUCUUUUUUUCUUUCCACUUUCAAAGGAGUCUUUGGAAAGAAUAGAUAAUAGGUGGCAAAUUAUAGCCUACACUGUGGUUGGGCUAUGUGGUUUUUCUUAGUGGAGCCGAUUGGAGAGGCCAGAUGCUUCACGUUCUGGUCUGCUCUGAUGUUGAACAGGCCCUGGCCUUGUUCCCGAGGCCUGGCUGUGGAUGUCUCUGGACCAGGCUAUCUUGUAGAUCAAAUAAAUUCUUCAAGAAGAUCUCUUCCUAACCUCGUAGGAUUACCCUGCCUUUCUGGGACUGCAGUUCCAACUGUAGAAAUAGUAGUUCCCAUGAAAGAAGAGUGUGAAAGUAUCAAAGGCUAAAGGGUUGGGGGAGAAGCAGAGGAAUGCAUGUCAUGCGAGAUUAUUAACUAUAAUUUCUGAUGGAAAGUUCCAAAUUUCCUUUGAACAACUGCCUUGGGGCAAGUCCUAUAGGAAGCACAGAGCUCACAUAUAAUAUGUCAUUAACUGGGCUUAUGAUUUCCUUGGAGUGUUUAUAGGUUGGGUUAGGAUGUGGAAUGCAUAAGCCAUAUACAAAAUCACAGUGCAUUUAUUGCUUCCUCUGCCAGUCCACUGGGGGAAAGUCAUGAAGCUUGCAGAGGCAUCUCCGGUAUGCUUGAAAACUAAGCUUUUACCUUUAUUUAACCUCAGAAGCUACAUCUGACCUAGCAAGUCCUAUAAAGCUAUUGUGAUAAACAUUCUCAGAGCCUGGAGACAUGUGGACACUCCUAUUGUGGAUAAGUAAAACUUCUCUGUACCUCAGACAUCUUUCCUCAGCCUUCCUUAUGCUUGACAGUAGGAAGAGAUACUGUUUCUGGAAAAUAAAGAAAAAACAACAUUAGGUUGGCUUGCAUUAGUCAUUUCUGAUUUAUUGUAUUUGGUGAGCUGUAGCUAUAGAGAAAUUAUGGGUUGAAUUGGUAUAAGUCCAGUGCUAAUGGGACCAAAGUUCAUUGGUCUGGUUUAUUUCUUGGUGACUAUCAUAACUCUGACUCUAUCUGGCACAGGUUCCCUUUCCCAUCAGGAUCAUGGUAUUCUCAGAACCUUCUUGGGAUCAUGAUGAGACCGAUGUUCUGAUCAAGUGACUGAAGCCAACUGCAUUUUUCUCUGAGACCUGGAACAUGUUUAAAAUCUGUGUACUCAAUUUCUUUUCUAAAGAGGUUGGGAAGAUAUUGAACUUAUUCCCUCCGCUACAUGCUUCUCUAGCAUACAACAGCAGGGCACACCAUCCAUUUAUUCUCUUUGUCAGGUGAUAUCCUAGACUCAGAGAAAUCCUUAUUGAUUUACCAGGCCAUCAGAAUAGACCUACUAACAAAUAUUUUUAAUAUCAAACAGUAUUAAUCUUACUAUUAGGUGGUAUUAUAGGAAGUAAACAAAACACUAAAACACUGGACACUUGGCAUUAACCUGAUCUUCCUUGUAAGGUUAGUAUUGAACUCCACCUUCCCCCAAACCCUGAGAAGCAGGUCCUACCUCUGUAUCCAGCUGAUGGCAAUGGAGGGAAGAGAAAGAAUAAGCCAGUUUCCUCACCAAAGGCAGCAACAGCUCAAGUAAAAAGCCAGGGAUGGCUUCAGGUCACUCCAAAGACAGUGGUGAAAUAACCAUUGCUGUGUUCAAUUUGCUUGACUUCUGUAGAAUAUUUGCCACAUGUGGAUUUCUCCAAUUUAGAAAAUCAGAGGUUCAAUUAUUGAAAAACAGUAAAGUAGAGACAGUGUAAUUCUGUGUGAAUACUUCCUUUCCCAAUGUUUUAGAAACAGACAAUAUGAAGCUGUCCAACAGCCAUUUCUUCGGUCUCCUUUAUAAAUACAGUAAAUGAGAUCACCCUGGGCUCAUUUAUCCUUGUUGGGGAAAGUUCUAAAUUACUCCUCUUGAGACUUUCCACUUAGAGCUGGUUUGUCUAAUGGUAGAUUGACAAAUUAACAGACUGAAGCUUCAGUCUCCUUUCAUUUUGGUGAGGAUCAAUUGCACCUCUGGUUCUUAGUAGCUUUAUAAAAGAAUUCUUAAUCCAGAACCUUGAACUGCCAGAUAUAUCUUCAAUACUCCUUACAAAGCAUACAAUAAAUGUUAAAUAUUAGCAAUAUUGAUGCCAAGAACUGAAUUUUCCUCUCAAGGUGAUAUGCUGAAGUCUUAGUUCCCACUGUGAAUGUAUUGGGAGAUAAACAGUACAUUUUGGAACUCAAUCUGAGUAGCUAGCUUUUUAAGAAUACAAGUAGCUGUUUUUAUUCAUUUGACCAACACAACUGUAGGAGAACAGAGUGAGAACCAGCCUUCUAGACAGGACACCCAUGUGCCACAAGAUCUCAGACACUAUGCAACAAAUUUUGCUUGUUUCAUCUACCCAGUCUCUAGUGUUUUAGUUUUAGUCAAGCAGAAUGAAUUGCUGUAGAGCUGUUUUCCUUCUUGUGUGGGUGUGUUUUUCAUUUAACAUUUAAUUGCUUCCCUUGUUUUUGUUCAUUCCUUUUGUUUCUGUUCCUUCAGCCUGCCCUGCCUUUUCUUUAAUUUUGACACCUCUUUAUUUCCCUCAUGAUUCUCAACAUUAAGCAUAAUAGCAAUGUUAGACGGCCAAGUAGCCUUAUUUGGGGACACCAUUUACAUGAUUCCCAGGCCUUUUCUUAUUAACUUCCUCUGGAGAGUUGUGUAAGUCAUUUCAUAAUUGUGCUGUUUUCUAUCUUCCUAUACUUUUCAGCAUCCCGCCCUCCACUCUUUGAUGCUUUUGCUUUUCUAGCCUACAUAUUUAGAACCUGGAUGCUUCUUAUCCGUGUCCAGAUAUUUGCCCAUUACUGUGGGCCUACAUACCAUGUAAUAAGACACUGGCACUCCUUAUUGUAGACAGAAAUAUCUUUUUUUUACACUGCUAUGACUAAAUUCUGUCCUACCAAAACCACACAUUGUAGUCUUAAUCCCUAGAUUCUCAGGGCAUAACUUUAUUUGGAAGUAGACCUUAUGAGAGACAAUGAAGCUGUAAGGGUAAGCCCUAAUUCAGUCUUAUUUGAAUUACUAAAAGAAAUGGCAAUUAGGAUGUACAGUGAUGACUCAGACAGGCAAGCACACAAGCACAUGAAAACAGACCUUCUGGAUUGAUGUCAUUUUCAAGCAGAGGAGAAAAACUGAACUGUCUCCUUCAUACUGGUCUUCACACCUCCAGAAGCUUUGAAAACUUGUGUCAUGGUCAAAAAGACACACACACACACACACACACACACACACACACACACACAGAGAGAGAGAGAGAGAGAGAGAGAGAGAGAGAGAGAGAGUGUUAAG